AUAGCGUAUAUUAAAGUUGUUGCAGUUAAAAAGCUCGUAGUUGAACUUCAGACCUGGCUGGGCGGUCCGCCUCACGGCGAGUACUGUCUGGCUGGGCCUUACCUCUUGGUGAACCGGCGUGCCCUUUAUUGGUGUGCGUCGGGGAACCAGGACUUUUACCUUGAGAAAAUUAGAGUGUUCAAAGCAGGCCUAUGCCCGAAUACAUUAGCAUGGAAUAAUAGAAUAGGACGUGUGGUUCUAUUUUGUUGGUUUCUAGAACUGCCGUAAUGAUUAAUAGGGAUAGUUGGGGGCAUUGGUAUUGAGUCGCUAGAGGUGAAAUUCUUGGAUUGACUCAAGACCAACUAUUG
rnacentral:rRNA from 1 species